UACGUAGGGUGCAAGCGUUAAUCGGAAUUACUGGGCGUAAAGCGUGCGCAGGCGGUUAUGCAAGACAGAUGUGAAAUCCCCGGGCUAACCUGGGAACCGCAUUUGUGACUGCAUAGCUGGAGUACGGCAGAGGGGGAUGGAAUUCCGCGUGUAGCAGUGAAAUGCGUAGAUAUCGUAAGGAAGGCCGGUGGCGAAAGCGAGCCUCUGGACAGUUACUGACGCUGAUGCACGGAAGGCCAAGGGGAGCAAACGGG
rnacentral:rRNA from 1 species